rnacentral:rRNA from 1 species
AUUGAACGCUGGCGGCAGGCCUAACACAUGCAAGUCGAGCGAGUGGCGGACGGGUGAGUAAUGUAUGGGAAUCUGCCCGAUGGAGGGGGAUAACUACUGGAAACGGUAGCUAAUACCGCAUACUAUAGGAUGAGCCCAUGUGGGAUUAGGUAGUAGGUGGGGUAAAGGCUCACCUAGGCGACGAUCUCUAGCUGGUCUGAGAGGAUGAUCAGCCACACGGGGACUGAGACAGGGCCCAGACUCCUACGGGAGGCAGCAGUGGGGAAUAUUGCGCAAUGGGCGCAAGCCGGAUGCAGCCAUGCCGCGUGGAUGAAGAAGGUCUUCGGGUUGUAAAGUCCUUUCAGUGGGGAGGCGUUACCUACAGAAGAAGCACCGGCUAACUCCGUGCCAGCAGCCGCGGUAAUUC